AUAUUUAAUAAAAUGUUAAAUACAGUGCUUUCUGGUAUAUUUGAAAACCUGAACAAAAUUAUUUUUUUAGGAAAAUAAAAAUGAAUACAGUAUUGACUCAGAAUUAGAACUCUCAGAAGCCUCAUAAUCAUAAAAACACAGAAAAGGGGAAAUUUAGUGUGAUACAGUAGCUAUUACUACUAAUAAAGCACCAAACCAAAAAUUUUUUUCAGGCAAAACAUUAUCAAGUAUCUAAGGAAUUGUUAUAUAGAGGUAAACAUCUCAUAACCACCCAAAUAUAACCUUGAUGUUAGAAUAAUAUUAGGACACCUAAAAACGGAAGCUCAUUUUUAGUAUCCAUGAAGAUAUAUGUGAGCAUACUAAAGAAACUAGCAAACAGUGGUACCUAUUAAAAUAAUACAAAUGAACCUGGUUGCAGCAGUAGCUAAGGAGGAUACCCAGUGCCCAGUUCUAACUAACUGAUGUGAGGAAAUGCAGGCCUCAUUUUGCCAGCUCUUGUGACUUUUCGAAAGUCUGGAUCUUUUUUUUUUUUUUUUUUUUCAGUGUGUGAUAGCUCUUGAUUUUUAUUUAUUUUAAUGUUUAUUUUUGAGAGAGUGCAAGUGAGGGAGGGGCAGAGAAGGGGGACCGAGGAUCCAAUGUGGAUUCUAUGCUGAUAGGCCGACAGCAGUGAGCCUGGGGCUUGGGGCUUGAACCCAUGAAUGGCGAGAUCAUGACUUGAGCCAAAGUCAGACACCCAACCGACUGAGCUACCCAGGUGCCCUAAUAGCUCUUGAUUUUUAAAUGGUAGCUCAGAUUUAUCUUUAAAGACACCAUGAGUACCAAAGAUGUAUUGACUGCACAAAUAGGCCAUAAGUUCCUUUUGUUCUGGACCCUAAAGCUGUGGAUGUGCAGAAGGCUUGGAGGAGGAGUUUUUAAUAUGCAAAUCCCUUAAAUAUUUAAUAUUUAAAAUAUUUCCAGAGAUAACUAGCUAAACUCCAAGUGUAAGGAUUUUUUUUUAAAGACUUAUUCCACCCCAAUAUUUUCUACAUGCAGUUCUUUAUUCUAAGCAUCAUGUCAAAUUUAAAAAUUGGGUCUGUUUUAUAUGUAACAACAAUAUCCUAUUGUUGAUAAAUAUAUACACAUACAACUGAAAAUUUUUAAAUGGCCUAUGAAGAGGAAAAAUAGCCUGAGCAUCACAUUUUUGCACUAGCAGCAAACAUGUCAUUGGAAUUCUGUAUUGUGUUCUAGAUGAAAAGUUAGCAGACUUUCCAUAAAGGGCCAGACAGUAAAUAUUUUAGCCCUGUGAGCCGUACUAUUUCUGUAGCAACUACUUAACUCUGCCAUUGUGGAAGAGUGUGGAAGGCUACUAAAAGUCUUAGAUUAAGAAUCCUGAAGUUAAGCAAAUGUCCCACAUUUUAGCUUUGUUUAGGUAGAUUAGUGUUUUGAAAUAGAUCUUUUCUUUGCCUCAAUUUUCAUGCUCAGCAAGCAGCUUCCUGCAUUGGAUGGAUUCCAUUCUUGGAAGGAAAUUCCCAUAUACCCAAAAUUACAGGUCUGUUCUUCCAUUCCUCACUUCCUUUUUUCUUAGAUCCCAUGUUAGUAGGUUAAGGUUUUUUUUUAAACAUUGAGUUAUUUUGUUCCAGGCUUAUGCCUGUAAAAUAUUUUAUAAUCAACUUAAGAAAAGCGGAAUGAGCAACAUAGGAGUUUAAGUCAUUCAUUAAGUUCUUCAUCUAAAAUUAUAGAGGAAAUGGGAUGCCUGGCUAGCUCUAUGGGAAGAGCAUUCGACUCUUGAUCUCAGGGCUAUGAGUUUGAGCCCCACGUUGGGUAGGGAAAUUACUAAAAGAAAUAAAAACUUUUAAAAAAUAAAAUGAAAUAAAAUUACAGAGGUAAUGCAUUUGCGUUCAAACCAAUGAAGCAAUACUAAAAAAAAAAAAAAAAAAAGCUAUGCCUUUUGCUAUUCC